AUCUUCCGCAAUGGGCGAAAGCCUGACGGAGCAACGCCGCGCGAGUGAUGAAGGGUUUCGGCUCGUAAAACUCUGUUAUUAGGGAAGAACAACUGUGUAAGUAACUGUGCACAUCUUGACGGUACCUAAUCAGAAAGCUACGGCUAACUACGUGCCAGCAGCCGCGGUAAUACGUAGGUGGCAAGCGUUAUACGGAACUAUGGGGCGUAAAGCGCGCGUAGGCGGUUUCUUAAGUCUGAUGUGAAAGCCCACGGCUCAACCGUGGAGGGUCAUUGGAAACUGGGAAACUUGAGUGCAGAAGAGGGAAGUGGAAUUCCAUGUGUGGCGGUGAAAUGCGCAGAGAUAUGGAGGAACACCAGUGGCGAAGGCGACUUUCUGGUCUGUAACUGACGCUGAUGUGCGAAAGCGUGGGGAUCAAACA
rnacentral:rRNA from 1 species